rnacentral:rRNA from 1 species
CCUAACACAUGCAAGUCGAACGGUAACAUUUCUAGCUUGCUAGAAGAUGACGAGUGGCGGACGGGUGAGUAAUGCUUGGGAACUUGCCUUUGCGAGGGGGAUAACAGUUGGAAACGACUGCUAAUACCGCAUAAUGUCUUCGGACCAAACGGGGCUUCGGCUCCGGCGCAAAGAGAGGCCCAAGUGAGAUUAGCUAGUUGGUAAGGUAACGGCUUACCAAGGCGACGAUCUCUAGCUGUUCUGAGAGGAAGAUCAGCCACACUGGGACUGAGACACGGCCCAGACUCCUACGGGAGGCAGCAGUGGGGAAUAUUGCACAAUGGGGGAAACCCUGAUGCAGCCAUGCCGCGUGUGUGAAGAAGGCCUUCGGGUUGUAAAGCACUUUCAGUUGUGAGGAAAAGUUAGUAGUUAAUACCUGCUAGCCGUGACGUUAACAACAGAAGAAGCACCGGCUAACUCCGUGCCAGCAGCCGCGGUAAUACGGAGGGUGCGAGCGUUAAUCGGAAUUACUGGGCGUAAAGCGCACGCAGGCGGUUUGUUAAGCUAGAUGUGAAAGCCCCGGGCUCAACCUGGGAUGGUCAUUUAGAACUGGCAGACUAGAGUCUUGGAGAGGGGAGUGGAAUUCCAGGUGUAGCGGUGAAAUGCGUGGAUAUCUGGAGGAACA